rnacentral:rRNA from 1 species
AGUGAACGCUGGCGGCAGGCCUAACACAUGCAAGUCGAACGGCAGCACAGAGGAGCUUGCUCCUUGGGUGGCGAGUGGCGGACGGGUGAGGAAUACGUCGGAAUCUGCCUAUUUGUGGGGGAUAACGUAGGGAAACUUACGCUAAUACCGCAUACGACCUACGGGUGAAAGCGGAGGACCUUCGGGCUUCGCGCAGAUAGAUGAGCCGACGUCGGAUUAGCUAGUUGGCGGGGAAAGGCCCACCAAGGCGACGAUCCGUAGCUGGUCUGAGAGGAUGAUCAGCCACACUGGAACUGAGACACGGUCCAGACUCCUACGGGAGGCAGCAGUGGGGAAUAUUGGACAAUGGGCGCAAGCCUG